AAGUCCCUUUUCCUCUGUGCCUCAGUUUCCCUGGAGGAAAAAUGGGCCAGGUGUGAUGCUUUUCGAUGACCCUGUCAACACUGUAGGCUAGAAACUUUGAAACUAUUCCCUGCAGGCUGAGAUCUCCUGGAAGAAGGACCACUGAAGGAUGAAACUUUCCAGUGGUGCGUUGGGCAAGCUGAAUUAAAUUGGAAGCCAUAGCUUUAUCCAGGGAGGUGGGGCUAAUUCUCCUCCAUUUGAGUGUGGGCUGCCCAUGGUGACUGUAAUGGAUAGAAUACAGCAGAAGUGAUGGUGUUAAAGACGGACUCAUAGGAGGUGCUGGGCUUCACCUUUGCUCUCUCUGCUGGAUCUCUCAGUGUGGGGAUGGCAGCUGCCAUGUCAUGAGGACAGCCAUGCAGCCCUAUGGAGACGUCAACAUGGGCCCCACCUGUAAAAUGGGAAUAACAGCAGCAUCUCCCUGAGAUGUUCUUUCAAAGAUGAGAAAACAUGAACAACUGGACUCUCUUGCCCAAGCCAUGGUCUCAGUGUUUCCUAAGAUUUAAAACAUUUCAUCCUGAAGACAGACUCUGAGAUGCUCUCUGCACUUGGCUGGAGGAGAGAUGAGCAAUGCUCUGGAAGUGCUGAAGCCCUGGGCUCUUGGAGCUGCCUGCCUGAGGCUGAGCUGUGUGGGAGGAGAAGAAGAACAGCAACAGCCUGGGGAGACAAACACACAAACAAACCUACAAACAAGGGAUGUGUUUGUUACUGAAAGAGAAAGGGCCCAUUCAGCUCUAGGCCCUAGAUGCUCAAUGCUUCCUCCAGGCCUGGAGCCCAGGCAGCUGUCACAUUUAUCUAUCCCCAAAGCCACCUGUGACCCCUGGCUGCUGCACGGGAGGUCCCUGGGCCUGCAAGGGUGGGGGUGGUGACCCUUUCCCUCAUGGCUCAUGGGUUGGCUCCUCAGGCCCUGUCCCAUGGCCUGGGUGGGGUCUCCUUCUCCUUCCUCUUCCUCCACUCGGUGGCUCUAUUCUUAUCCUUCACCUCUGAAGUCCCAGGGACAAACAGUGGGGCCCUCUGGAUGAAGAGAGGGCUUGAAAUGCUGAUGGCUGGAAUGGAGAGAAUUAUUCAAACCAUCCUGGGGUGAGAAAGAGGAGAAGGCAAAGUAACAUUUUUUGAGCACCUACUAUGUGCUUGACACACUGCUGAGCCAUUUCAUCUAAUACUUCCAGCCAAAAGGAGUGGCGGCUCAGAGCUCGAGCAGCUGGCUCUGACUGACAGUGCAUUCCCUUUCCAGGAAAAGAUCCACCCCAUGGGGCUGUGAUGUUAAGAAACAGGACAGGGAAGCAUAAAGGCUACAGUGAGUGAGGGAGUAGCUGACACACAGUAGUGUUCAAUAGAUACUGUGCCCCCAUCCUGAGUCCCUAUGCAUUUUGUAGAAGACUUGUUUAAUGGAAAGGAAAAAACCAUGCUAUAACUGAUCCAUUUAUUUUAUUCAAUAAAUAUUUACUGAGCACCUACUGUGUGCCAGAAACUGUGUAGGGGCUGAAACACAUCAAUGGCCAAGAUGGAAACUGGGAAAGUGCCCCUGCCCUUGCGCAGUUUACAUUCUAGUGGAAUGGCCAGGAGAGGGACCCUUCACGUGCACUUGUCCAGCACAGCUGUGUUGAGUGCUGACUAUGUGUCGGGCUCUGGUCUCUGCAUGGUGUUCUUCAACCUGAGUGUCAGGCUAGGAAGCAGCACUGACUGCCCUGGGCUGUACUGAGCCUCCAUGGGGAUUUCAGAAAAGGUGCUCUUUCUUCUGACAUCUGCCAGAAAAAUGUCUCUAAUCAGUAUGCAAAUUGAUAAUGAUAAUAACAUAUAAACACCAACCUCUGGGGUUGUGCAGUGAACAAACUACCCAACUGUCCCCAACAGGGCUGCUCAGAACCACCCAGGAGCCCCUCCAACCCUGCGUGUAUGUCCCUCCAGUGUUCUUCCACACACUGCAAUAGCUCCAUCAUGAUGCGUACGAAUUGUGAUGAAUGAAAAUAAGAGCUUCCAUUGGCUGAAGACUCACUAAGUUUCCAUAAACCACUAAUAUUCCAAAUUCCCAAUUCCAUUCAGUCCCCGCAUUCCCCUAUGAGGUAGCAUUUAUGGGUUCAGUCACGUGCCCCCAAUAUUCAUAUGUUGAAGUCCUAAGCCCUGACCUCGGGAUGUGACUGCAUUUGGAGAUGGGGUCUUUGAAGCUAUAAUUAAGGUAAAAUGAGUUCAUUAGGGUGGACCCUUAUCCAACGUGGCUGAUUUCUCAAAAGAAGAGAUUUGAACACAAAAGCGUGCAGAGGGAAGACCAAGUGAGGACACAGGCCAGCUACAAGCUAAGGAAAGUGGCCUCAGAAGAAACCAGCUAUGUAGGGACCAUCCCUUGAUCUUGAACUUCUAGCCUAUAGAACUGUGAGAGAAUGAAUUUCUGUUGUUUAAGCCACCCUGUCUCUGGUACUUUAUUGUGGCAGCCCUUGCAAACUAAUACAGAUAGAUUCUAUUAUUUCCCCCGUUUUUACCAAUAAACACACUGAGUCAGUGAGAGGUUAUGUACCAUGUCCAAGGUCACGAGCUAAGAGGUAGGGACGUGGGGUUGGAACUCAGCUCUGAUUCCACACCCAUGCACUUAGCCCCACUGCACUGCACAGAUUUUUCCUUUUUAAUCCCUUUUUGGCCCCUUCAGAGGGGCAUGUCUUAACUGGAUCUCUGCAGGGUGAGCAUGUCAAAAGAGAGGUUGGCACUGAGACUCCACACAUCCACAAACCCUUACCCUGGGCCAGCCCUGCAGAGCCCUGGGCCAUGGGCUGUCUGCCCAGGCAUCUGGGACAAGCUAAAGAAGUUCUCUACUCAUUCUGUUUUAUUUUCUAAACAUUAUUGGUCUUUGGAAGUAGUGACCUUUGAAGAAAGAAAGAAAAAUUCCAGAUAUUCCAAAGAUAGUGAGUAAUCUCUGCAGUCAACCCUAGACCAGGGAAGAGCAAGGAUUCUCUGUGAAGAGCCAGACAGCAAACCUCCCAGGCUCUGCUGGCCAGAAGCGUGUGGCAGCCACUCCACUCCACCACCUCAGCUCAAGACCGCCAUAGGCAGUGUGCAAAUGAAUGAACACAGCUGGCUUCCAUUAUAGCUUUAUUUAUAGACACUAAUAUCUGGAUUUUAUAUCAUCUUUCCAUGUCACAAAAUAUUCUUCUUUUGAUUUUUUUAAACUAUUUAAAAAUGUAAAAACCAUUCUUAGCUUUCGAUCCUUACAAGAAAGGGCUUUGGGCUGGAUUUGGGUUGGUGUAGAUUGUUGUAUUCAUCAUUUCUGAGAAGGAAUUUUUAGACUCUCAGAGCUGGGAAGGCCUAAUGACCCAAUGAGCCCUAGUUUGGUUUACAGAUGGAGACGCAGAUGCUCAGAGCUCUGGUGACUUCAGGAUCAUGAGCUCUUGAGGGCCAUGGUUCCACCUCCAGUCUCAUGGCUCAAUCCCUUCUUCCCACCCUGAGAACACAGCCCCACCAGGAGAGUGAGGAUGUUUCUUUCCAAAAUAAACUCUAAACCCAGGGGCCAACUGGCUCAGCUCCUAUCUGACAAAUUUCCUGAAGCAGUCCACUACUAAGGCUGAAAGGCAGUACGUUACAGCAGGUAGAUGCUCAGAGUGGUGCGAGAUGCACAGCGUGUCCUAUGUUCAGGUUUGUGGUGAUGUCAACACAGUAACUCAGGCUGAACUCACAGCCCACGCUGGGCUCUGCACAAACACCUUCUGGAGCAUUAUUGCAUCAUCACCAUUAAUCCCCCUGAUAACCCUACAAGGUGAGUGAUGUCUGUUUUACAAAUAAGAAGAUCGAAGCUCAGAGGUUAAGUCACUUCACCAAAGACACACAGCUAACAAGUGGCAGCCCAGGCCUCAAAUCCAGGCCUGACUGGCUUUCUUGCUGGGUGUUCAGGGGUGACAGGACCAGGCCCCCCUCUGCCCUGCUGGCCCCAGGAGCAUAUUCCUUCAUGUCAGACCACCAGGCCUUCUGUUGGGGUUGGUCAUGUGGUCACCCUCGCCAUGGGGCUGAUGCAGGUGGCAUGUUCCCGGUGUGUUCACAGGGAUAUUUCUCAGAGAAGAUGAGUCAUGCAGAACUCCAUCACUGAGACGCCCCUACAGGCAGUAGACUCAGAAGCCAAGAUGACAUCACCACCAUCUUCCCUCUCUCCUGCCCAGACUGUUUAAAACUGAUCCUGACAGAUAAACAGUCACGUAGGAAAUGACACGCAUAUGGAGAUGCCUGUUGUUGUGUUGUGUCUGAAAGCAACAACGUGAAAUUAACCCAGAUGCUAAAAGAAGGGCUGAGUUUGAUGAAUGAUGGUCUAUUCAAACGGCAGGACAAUGCACAGCCAUUAAAGUGUUCCUAAGGAAUAUUUGUAUUUAUUGCCCUGGAGCAACAGUGUAUCAAGAGAUGAAACUGAUUAUAAAAUCAUGUGUCUGGUAGAAUGUCAUUUAAAUGAAAAAAGCAUGAUAUAUGUGCAUAGAAAGUAACUGGAAUUUGACCAGGCAUGGUGGCUUACACCUGUAAUCCCAGCAUUUUGGGAGAUAGAGGCAGGCAGAUCACCUGAGGUCAGGAGUUCGAGACCAGCCUGGCCAACAUGGCAAAACUCUGUUUCUACUGAAAAAUUAAAAAAUUAGCUGGGUAUGGUGUCGGGUGCUUGUAAUCCAAGCUACUCCGGAGGCUAAGCAGGAGAAUUUCUUGAACCUGAGAGGCCGAGGUUGUAGUGAGCCGAGAUUGUGCCACUGUACUCCAACCUGGGCGACAAAGCGAGCCUCUAUUCCUCACCCAGCAAAAAAAUAACUGGAAUUGUAUACACCAAAAUGUUAACACAUUAUUUUGAGUGUAUUUAUUCCUUCAUUCACCCAACUAACAUUUAUUGAGUUAACAGCCCAUUUAUGUGCCAGGAAGCACACUAAGUGCUAGGAACAGAGUAGUAAAUACAACCAGGGGAUGGGAUGAUGACUGAUUUUUUUAUUAGACUAUUUUGUAGAGCAGUUUUAAGUUCACAGCAAAGCUGAGAGGAAGGCACAGAGAUUUCCCAUAUACUCCCUACCCCUAAACAUGCAUAGCCUCCCCCAUUAUCAACAUCCCCCAUCAGAGGGUACAUUGUGACAGCUGAUGAUCUUACAGAGACACAUCAUCAUCACCAAAGACCAUCAUUUACAUUAGGGUUCGCUCUUGGUGUUGCACAUUCUAUGGAUUUUGACAAAUGUAUAAUGACAUGAAUCUAGCAUUAGAGUAUCAUGCAGAGUUUCACCAUCCUAAGCAUCCUCUGUGCUCUGCUUAUUCCUCCCUCCCUCCGCUCUAGCCCUCGGAAACCACUGAUCUUUUUACUGUCACUAGUUUUGCCUUUUUCAGAAUGCCAUAUAGUUGGAGGCAUAUGAUAUGUAGCCUUUUCAGAUUAAUUGCUUUCACCUAGUAAUAUGCAUUUCAGUUUCCUCCAUAUAUUUUCAGGCUUGUUAGCUCAUUUCUUUUUAGUGCUGAAUGAUAUUCCACUGUCUAGAUGAGCUACAUUCUAUUUAUUCAUUCACCCCCUAAAAGACAUCUUAGUUGCUUCCAAGUUUUGGCAAUUACGUGUGAAGCUGCUACAAACGUCUGCAUGCAGGUUUUCGUGUGGACAUUCGUUUUCAAUCCUUUGGGUAAAUACCAAGGAGCACAGUUGCUGGGUAGUGUGGCGUAUUAGUUCAUUUUCACACUGCUAUACAUACCUGAGAUUGGGUAAUUUAUUAAUAAAAAGAAAAAAGGCUUAAUUGGCUCACAGUUCUGCAGGCUGUUCAGAAAGCAUAGCGGCUUCUGCUGGGGAGACCUCAGGAAACUUUUACUCAAUUUUGCUGGCAAAGGGAGAGCCAGCAUUUCACAUGGCCAGAGCAAGAGGAAGGGGGGUGCCACACUGUUUUAAACAAUCAGUUCUCAUGAGAACUCACUAUCACGACAACAGCACCAAAGGGGGAUGGUGUUAAACCACAAGAAAUUGCCUCCAUGAUCCAGUCACCUCCCACCUGGCCCCAGCAUUGGGGAUUACAUUUCAACAUGAGAUUUGGGUAGGGACACAGAUCCAAACCAUAUCAUAUGGUAAAAUUAUGUCCAGUUUUGUAAGAAACUGCCACACUGUCUUCCAACAUAGCUGUACUAUUUUACAUUCUCACCAACUGAUAUGGUUUGGCUCUGUGUCCCCAUCCAAGUCUCAUCUCCAAUUGUAAUCCCCCCAUGUGUCAGGGGAGGGACCAGGAGGUUGGUGAUUGGAUUAUGGGAGCGGUUUACCCCACGCUGUUCUCGUGAUGAUGAGUGAAUUCUCACGAGAUCUGAUGGUUUUAAAGUGUGGUUCUUCCUCAUUCUCCCACACACUCCCUCCUGCUGCCUUGUGAAAAAGGUGCCUGCUUUCCCUUCACUUUCUGCCAUGAUUGUUAAGUUUUCUGAGGCCUCCUAGCCACACUUCCUGGUUUUUGUCCCUCUCUUAAAGUGAAUGGUCACAGAGCCAUGAGCAGGUGGAAGAUGCAGGUGGAGGCAUCUUCCCUGUCACCGUUGGUAUGUCUGGUUGAAACCUGCAACAAGAGGCAGCACUGUGUUGCAUGGCUCCAGAGAACACCACUCUCUUUGUGUUCUAUGCAACAUGCCCACGAGUUAUGCAUUGCAGCACCUGGCCAUAAAUCAUCACCAACCCUAUGGAUGAAGCAACACCCCAGGGAGGGUGGAGAAGUACAGGGGAAGGAGCCAGGGCCCCCAUGAAACAAACAUUUCUUCCAGGAAUUUCCCAAGCCCAGACCAUUGCAUGAAAAGAGAAAUAAAAUACUCUUUUGUUUCCAUCACAUUGUUUUUGGUCUCAGUUGGAGCAGCAGACCCUAUAUUGCAACAAACAGACUCAAUCACCCUCAUUAUUAGGAAAGUCAGCUCUGCAGCAAUUCUUCCCUUAAACACCACAGGGUGUUUUGGGCGUUAAAGGAAAAACCUUAGAAAAACUAAAUGUAACAGAAUUUAAUUGAGUGAAAAAUGGUUCUUGAAUUGGGCAAUCCCCAAAACAGAAUAGGUUCAGAGAUGCUUCCAGGCUACCGCGUGGUCGAGGAUGAUUUAUGGGCAGAAAAAAGAGAGUGACAUAUGGAAAACAGAAGUAAGGAACAGAAACAGCUGGAUGGGUUCUAGCUUGGCGUUUGCCUUCUUUGAACAUGGUUUGAAGAGUUGGCUGUCUGUGAUUGGCUGAAACCCAGAGAUUGGUACUAGAGUUGGUUAUAGCCUGUUUACACAUCCAGUUAGGUGAUAGUUCACUAUGUAUGAAGAAACAUUUAAACCAAACUGAAUUUAACAUGGAUAAGACAAGGUCUUUCGUUAAAGGGCCAUGAGAGUGAAGGCAACUUUCACCUCCAGAGCCCCUGCCUUCUGUGCCUGGAUGCCCAGAGGGUCAUCAGCCUGUGUCAUCACGUGGAAUGUCAUCCAUCCUCCUCUGAGAGCCUCAGCAGGGUAAAGAUAUGGCAAAACCCAGACUGUUGUAUUCAUCGCUGUAUACCUAGAGUCCAUCACUGUACUAGCACACAGUAGGGCUCAGAGGUGCUGCUUGCUCAGUAAAGGACUGAAUGAACACAUUGAUGGCUAUAGCCAGUGAGUGAUGCACCAGAUGGGUGCUCACAUUCCUCCAUGCUUUGGCUCCAUCCAACCUAUCUGCUUCCUCUACAAUGUCUUCUUCCCAUGUGGACCAACAGCAGCAACAGCACCUGGGGACUUGUUAGAAUGCAAACUCAUAGGCUGCUCUCCAGACUGCCCAAGUUGGGAACUCUGGUGCUGGCGCGGGGUGCAGUAGUCUGUGUUUUAAUGCACCCACCAGGCGAUUCCAAUGCUGACUCGAGUUUGAGAGCCGCUGCUCGCCAUGAGUGUUUCACAAAUUGCAUAGCACAGCCAUUCCUUUGUUGUUCCCUCUACCUGGGAUGCCUUUCUCCCUAUCUCUGUCAGUAGCAGACUCACUCAUGUUUGGGGGACUCUGAACACGCCACCUCCUCCAGAAAGUAUCCCCAGAUCCCCACAGUCUGGAGGAAUAACUCCCUGGGGAUACUCACAGGCUGUGCUUGUCUCUUCAAUCCCUGGUUUAUUCAGGCCAGAGCUUCCUGCCUCCCCAACUGGGAUGUGAGCUCCUUUCUGCAGUACCAGGUUUUCUUCAACUCCCCAGCCCCUGGCUCCAUCGAGCCAAACUUACAUUGGUAUUCAAUAAAUGCUGUUGGUUUGGUUUUUUUGUUUUUUUUUUUUUUUUUUUGAGACGGAGUCUCGCUCUGUUGCCCAGCCUGGAGUGCAGUGGUGCAAUCUCCGCUCACUGCAAGCUCUGCCUCCCGUGUUCAUGCCAUUCUCCUGCCUCAGCCUCCCGAGUAGCUGGGACCACAGGCACCUGCCACCACCCAGCUAAUUUUUUGUAUUUUUAGUAGAGACAGGAUUUCACUGUGUUAGCCAGGAUGGUCUCGAUCUCCUGACCUCGUGAUCCACCCGCCUCAGCCUCCCAAAGUGCUGGGAUUACAGGCAUGAGCCAACAUGCCUGGCCUGCUGUUGGUUAGAAUAAUACCACAGAGCAUCAGUCUAGUCCACUCCUAGAUAUAGACUCACAAAGAAGAAAGCCAGGUGGCACAGUGAU
rnacentral:lncRNA from 1 species